GUCGUCGAGUACGUCAGAGAGUUAGUUAGUACUAUGGCUCAGGACGAACGCUGGCGGCGUGCUUAACACAUGCAAGUCGAGCGGAGAAUAUAGCAAUAUAUUCUUAGCGGCGGACGGGUGAGUAACGCGUGGGUAACCUGCCUUUUACAGGGGGAUAACACUGGGAAACUAGUGCUAAUACCGCAUAAAAUAGUGAAGUGGCAUCACUUUACUAUCAAAGGAGCAAUCCGGUAAAAGAUGGACCCGCGUCCGAUUAGCUAGUUGGAGGGGUAACGGCCCACCAAGGCGACGAUCGGUAGCCGAACUGAGAGGUUGAUCGGCCACAUUGGGACUGAGACACGGCCCAGACUCCUACGGGAGGCAGCAGUGGGGAAUAUUGCGCAAUGGGGGGAAAAACCCCCUGACGCAGCAACGCCGCGUGAAGGAUGAAGGUUUUCGGAUUGUAAACUUCUUUGAUUGGGGACGAUAAUGACGGUACCCAAAAAACAAGCCACGGCUAACUACGUGCCAGCAGCGGC
rnacentral:rRNA from 1 species